rnacentral:rRNA from 1 species
UACGAAGGGGGCUAGCGUUGCUCGGAAUCACUGGGCGUAAAGCGCACGUAGUCGGCUUUUUAAGUCAGGGGUGAAAUCCUGGAGCUCAACUCCAGAACUGCCUUUGAUACUGAGAAGCUUGAGUCCGGGAGAGGUGAGUGAAACUGCGAGUGUAGAGGUGAAAUUCGUAGAUAUUCGCAAGAACACCAGUGGCGAAGGCGGCUCACUGGCCCGGUACUGACGCUGAGGUGCGAAAGCGUGGGGAGCAAACAGG